rnacentral:misc_RNA from 1 species
GCAAACUUGGUCAUUUAGAGGAAGUAAAAGUCGUAACAAGGUUUCCGUAGGUGAACCUGCGGAAGGAUCAUUAACAAAUUCUGAAUUGCUUGCAUGGGGUUGACGUGUGAAUGGUGCAGUUUAUUUGGAGAGGAAUUCAUUCCCGAUUCAUUUGAUGCUGCUCAUUGCACGUGCACUCUUGCAACAAUACACACGUUCCAUGUGCAUUCACUUGUGCAUGACAACAUUUCUACGAAUCAUCUGAUUGUCACAUAAUCUAAUCACAUUAAAGACUUUUAACAAUGGAUCUCUAGGCUCUUGCAUCGAUGAAGAACGCAGC